rnacentral:rRNA from 1 species
UACGUAGGGGGCUAGCGUUGUCCGGAUUUAUUGGGCGUAAAGAGCGUGUAGGCGGCCAGGUAGGUCUGCUGUGAAAACUCGAGGCUCAACCUCGAGACGUCGGCGGAAACCAUCUGGCUAGAGUCCGGAAGAGGAGAGUGGAAUUCCUGGUGUAGCGGUGAAAUGCGCAGAUAUCAGGAGGAACACCGGUGGCGAAGGCGGAUUUCUGGACCAGUUUCUGACACUGAUGAGCGAAAAGCCAGGGGGAGCAAAACAGG